GACGAACGCUGGCGGCGUGCUUAACACAUGCAAGUCGAACGGAAAGGCCCUGCUUUUGUGGGGUGCCCGAGUGGCGAACGGGUGAGUAACACGUGAGUAACCUGCCCUUGACUUUGGGAUAACUUAAGGAAACUGGGGCUAAUAUCGGAUAGGAGCUCCUGCUGCAUGGUGGGGGUUGGAUAGUUUCGGCGGUCGGGGAUGGACUCGCGGCUUAUCAGCUUGCUGGUGGGGUAGUGGAUUACCAAGGCUGUGACGGGUCGCCGGCCUGAGAGGGUGACCGGCGACAUUGGGACUGAGAGACGGCCCAGACGCCUACGUGAGGCAGCAGUGGGGAAUAUUGCACAAUGGUCGGAAGCCUGAUGCAGCAACGCUGCGUUCGGGAUGACGGCCUGCUGGUAGUAAACCGCUGUCGCCUGUUACGCAGCGUGAGUGACGGUAAUGGGUAAAGAAGCACCGGCUAACUACGUG
rnacentral:rRNA from 1 species